UACGUAGGGUGCGAGCGUUAAUCGGAAUUACUGGGCGUAAAGGGUGCGCAGGCGGCCGAGCAAGUCGAGUGUGAAAGCCCCGAGCUUAACUUGGGAACUGCGCUCGAAACUACUUGGCUAGAGUGUGGCAGAGGGAUGUGGAAUUCCACGUGUAGCGGUGAAAUGCGUAGAGAUGUGGAGGAACACCGAUGGCGAAGGCAGCCUCCUGGGCCAACACUGACGCUCAUGCACGAAAGCGUGGGGAGCAAACAGG
rnacentral:rRNA from 1 species